CUUGCUCUGAACUCCCAUUGACUGGACUAGACUAGACUCAGCUCUUCUUCCUCACUUUCACCUCUGCGAGACACAGCUCAUCAGACACUGAAAAACUAGAGCAGACAUUUGUCCUCGCUUAUCUGAGUGCUCUAUGGGGUUCACUUCAGAUCAUGUUAUACCAAAAACUCCAGAACCCCAAAUCUACAGAUGUUACCAGAAGCCAGAAGAAUAAUCCAAAGAACCGAUUACUGCCUUGCUUCCCUCUCCCUUUUCCCAUUCCUCCUUCUUUUUUCCCCUCCUCUCUCCCUUCAUUCAUCAAUAUGUAGCAAAAGCCCUACUCUGGGUCAGGCUCUUUGCAGGUCUGGGCAUCCCAAGAUGACCAAGGCACACUUCCUCCUGCAUGGAGCUCACAGUCCUGAGGGAAGACAGGGACUAAGAAGUUUCCAAACCAGGGAAAGAACGCCAACAUCAAAGUGUCCAUGGGGCCCAUGGGAGCAGAGAGGAGAACCUCUCCGUUCUGUUCAGCUGCAAGCCCAGCCCAUCUUCCGGGUCCACCUCAGAGACGUUUCCUCCGAGAAGCCCUCCCUGCUCCCAGCCGUGUCUCCGUCAUCUCUGUCUGGGUACAUGUCCCUCUUCUCCCGACCCUGUGGACUGCUCGAGAGCAGAGAUCCAAUCUUGCCGACAGCUGUGUCCCCACAGCGCUCAGUCAGCCCUUUCACCAUCCCCAAGCUGGGACCGUCCCCCUUACCCCGUCCAGCAGUUGACCCUUGCCUCCCAGAAGGUGAUUUUGCCUCCUUGGUUGAGAAGUCUAAACAGUGGUCUUGCAACACGAGGCGCAGGCAGCUGUGUGACCUUGGUGUGUUACUUCACCUCUCUGAGCCUUGGUCUUCUUCACCAGUAAAACAGCACCUGACUCCUGGGGCUGCAUUGAAGAGCAGAUGUGCUAAGCCUAGCCCGAUGCCUGACGCACAGUGACUAUUCAACGAAAGCUCACAGUGACAGAAAGAGGAAAUAGACCCAGCCUUAGUCUCAUGUUUCUCUCUGUUGCCGAAACCUGCUCCUGGACCCUUUCUCCCCAUUUUGCUGUUUGGUAAGUCCCACUCGGAGCAAUACUGCAGCUGCCCCAGCCAGGGGAGCCUCUGCCGUCAUUCAUCUGACCAGCCAUGCCCUUCAGAAGACCAGACCCAGGAAGCUGGCCCUGCGGGAUUCGGAAUCCAUGGUUGUCAGGAGGUCUUUGCCAAGACUGUGGGGAAGAUCCAUAGACAGCGACAACUUACGCAGUGCUACUUUGUCACAAAUGGGAAGCCUCUGGGGGCGUGGAGAGGGUUCUGCUUUCUGGAGGCCUUUGUAUGUUCCUGACUUGAGGGGGCCCCUUCCAGCAGGGGAGACCCGUGAGGUCCUGGGACACCCGCAGCAAGGAGUGCUCCUAGGCACUCGUGGCUGCUUCAGGGCCAGGCUGCUCUGCUCCCUGGCUCCUUCAUU
rnacentral:lncRNA from 1 species